AAAUAAGUAAGCACGAAAGUAACAACAGAUGGCGCUAAAAAGAUUUUGCGCGAAAUAACCAGCAUCUAGCUUCAAUUAGGUAAAGUCUUAUUAUGAAGCACACAAACAACAAUAAUUAAAUCAGAGACAUGACACGCAAAAGCAAUGAGAAUGUGAUUUGUUCAAAACGGGUAAACUUGCUGGUUUCUCUUCCCAGUUGGUAAACAACAAAAGACGCUGCAGCAAACAAAGCUAAUACCGACAAAAAAGGAAAAAAAUGGACGACGGAUCGUUUCUUUUCCUAUUGGGCCUCGCGAUAGCGACACCUAGUGGCGCAGCAGUGGCUGAGACGCAGCGCGUUAUCUCUCCCGAGGCAAUCUUUUACAGAUGCUUUGUGGAUAAAUAUCAAGUGACGACAGGUAGCUGUAAAUUACUGGAGGAUUGCCCCGCCACCUCAAGGCACCCAAUACCCAUGAACUGUUAUUUUAAGAAUUCCAAACAGUACGUAUGGUGUCCGACCCCUGUUACACGAACCAGAGUUAAAGGUUGCGAUUACGCUCGUACCCGUCCCAGUGUUUCGGAUGGCACACCCACUGAAUACCGAGAGUUUCCCUUCAUGGUCGCCCUCGGCUGGCGCUCGAGCUUCGAUGAAAGCAUUCACUAUCGCUGCGGGGGCAGUCUCAUAGCAUCCAAGUUUGUGCUCACAGCGGCGCACUGCAUCGACUUUGGCGGACAGGUGCCCGUAACGGUGCGACUGGGCGGUGACAAUCUAACCAUGGGCAUGGGCGUCGAUAAUCAAAUCCGGCGCAUAUUUAUGCAUCCCGCUUACGAUGAGAAAACCGCCUACAACGACAUCGCGCUGCUGGAGCUGGAAAUGGAUGCGCCGCCAAGCUUGGUUCCCGUCUGCCUGUGGCAGCAUGCGAAACUGGCAGAGAAGGAGCUAACAGCCGUUGGCUACGGACAGAUCAGCUUCACGGGUCUCUCCUCCUCGCAGCUGCUCAAGGUCGAUCUGCAGCACAUCAGCGACGACCUGUGCCAAGACUACUACACACGCGAACUGCUCGCCGAGGGCUUGGCUGCCAGUCAGCUCUGUGCAGGCGACACCAAAGGCAAGGGCGACACCUGCCAGGGUGAUUCCGGUGGCCCGCUGCUCAUGAGAUCCGAUUUGACAUGGUAUGUGGUGGGCGUCACGUCGCUAGGUCACGGCUGUGCCACCGGACCGCCCAGCAUCUAUACGCGCGUGUCCAGCCACCUCGACUGGAUUGAGAGCGUUGUUUGGCCCGAACCCGAAGUGCAGAUAGUGGAUUCCCAUUUCGAUCCGAGUAUUUUCUUCUGAGGAAGGCCACAGCUGCCUCCCAUAUUCAGUAAGCCGGAAUCGAAUCCAAUCACAUGCCUCAUCAUCAAUUAUUCAAAUUACAUCGUGAGCUGCCUUGGGCAAUUGUUAAUUAAAUAUGAAUUUACUUACGAUUUUUUGUAAAGCAUACUUUGGAUAUAUUUGGAAGCACCCGAAAGUAGGCUUCAGGAAAAUUCGGUGGAAAACCGUGAAAAUACACUCUAGGCACUGACUAUAU